CGGGUGUGGGUGUGCGGCAGACGGGUUCGCAAGGAAUUUUUGAUGGCGGUCAAACAGAUGCUUAUUAAAGAAAAAAAAUUAAUAUUUAGAAAUAUUUUGAAAGGAAAGAUUUGUAUUUUCUUUAGUCCCACAUCGGAAAAUCAUGUAAAACUCCUCCCUCCUAACACCUAUAAAAAGGCUUUUGUACUCCCAUUGGAGGGGGAGCCCAGAAAUUCUUCUAGAGCCUUGCAUAGAGGAAUAGAAAGGGACUACUUCAUGAGCAGCUAGGCUAGCAGUCUCGGGAGUGGAGAAGAAAUUUUAUAACGACACAGAGAUGGUUUAUUGUUCUAAACUUUCCUGUAUUUCUUUAUAUGCAAUAAAGAUUAUGCUUUUAUUUAAAUCAUCAUGAGUUCUUUAUUUGCUUUCUUUCAUAUGCUUUUAUUUAUACUUUAUUGUUAGAUUAAUAUUAGGAACAACUUUUACUUUUCGGAGACGCGCCGUGAUCUACGGGUACGGGGCGUGCCGAGGAAAGAAGUUGUUUACUUAGUACUUUCCGGAGACGCGCCGUGAUCUACGGGUACGGGGCGUGCCGAGGAAAGAUAGGUAUUUUUCCUAAGAUUAAUCGCAUAUAUUAAAAAAGAGAUACAACUCUGCUAGUGCGAAAUUAAUUCAAAACUCCCGAGCUCUUUAUUUUCUAACUACAUCAAUUUUAAGAUAAUUUAUUUUCUAAAUCAAAAACAAUGUUUCUUUUUUUUAUUUUGCAAUCUCAACUUAGCCCAAAG
rnacentral:lncRNA from 1 species